CCAGCGUGACAGUAUUUUGCUCUGACUUAUUGCUUCACCCUAAUUGUUCUGUGAUGACGGUGUGCUGCAGUCUAUCUGAUGAAGGGGCGUGUGCAAAGUUGUAAAAUUUAGAAUGUUGACGAAAAGGGAACGAUGACAGCAAACCAACUUUGGAUGAGAUGUCACUUGAAAGAUGCUGCCUGACCUGAUUCUCUCCUGCAUUUUUCGUUUGUGCUCAAAGUGACACGUAGUCUCCUGCUCAACAUGUUGAAGUUUGUCCUGUUACACAAGGUGUUGGUGUUGCAAAGUGACGUGAGAUGGAAUGGAAUCCUAGCAGCUCCUUUACAGGAUGAGAGAGAACUAUUUGCUGGAUAUCUCCCACACAGGUCAAAUUUCAGAGCACAGAAGAAAUGACUUUAGCUACUGCUUCUGUAACUAAAGAGAAAGAGAACAUUAAAACCAGAAAGUGUC